rnacentral:lncRNA from 1 species
UUGCGUCAUAUCCGCUAAAACAAAGCGUGCACGCAUCGUCUGCUUAGGUGCCAUUUAAAGGGUGCUUAUGAGAAAAUUGGACAAUUACCAGCCACGCGGCUUUGCCAAGAUUACAUUGAUAAUAUAUGCUAAGCAUUUAUAGGAAAUUUAGCCCGAGUGGAAUUUCGUUGCAGUUG